rnacentral:rRNA from 1 species
UACCAGCACCCCGAGUGGUCGGGACGAUUAUUGGGCCUAAAGCAUCCGUAGCCGGUUCUGCAAGUCCCCCGUUAAAUCCAGCUGCUCAACAGAUGGGCCGCGGAGGAUACUACCAGAGCUAGGAGGCAGGAGAGGCAAGCGGUACUCAGUGGGUAGGGGUAAAAUCCGUUGAUCCAUUGAAGACCACCAGUGGCGAAGGCGGCUUGCCAGAACGCGCUCGACGGUGAGGGAUGAAAG